GUUAAUGUGCUGCUAUGACUGACUUAUUGAUUGAGAUAGGGUCUCGCUGCCCUUUUUUUACCCAAGCUGACCUUGAACCACAGUCUUCUCAUUUCUGGGAGUGUAGGUGUGUGCCUCCAUAGCCUGCAUGUGUGUGCUUUGAAAUGGGAUCUCCCAGUGCUGCCCAGCCUGAUCAUGAGCUCCUGCGUUCAAGUAGUCCUCCUGCCUCAGCCUCCUGAAGCUGUGUGCCAUCAUCAUUCCCAGUGCAUGACCAUUUCAUAGCUGAUGAUACGUUCUUCCAUCAGGAGUUAUAAUGAGUGGUUGUCUCUCCCAGUGGUGUUACCCGUCUUUGGUGAUUGAUCAAUUUCUUUGGAAUUUUGAAAAAGGUGAUUGUUCUUUUCUUUUAUCUGUUUUGAGACAGGGUUUUGCUGUGUAGCCCAGACUGCCCUUGAACUCGAGAUAUUUCUGCCUCAGCUUCCCAAGUGCCGGUGUGCAUCACCACGCCAAGCUAAGAAAAAGGAAACUGUUUCUUAAAAUUGUUUACAUUUAGGCAUCAGGUGCCUGUUGAUGACACUGUUUUUAAAUUCAAAUGUCCUAUUAAUGGUUUUUGAAAGAAAAUUAAGCCAAUGGCAAACUUAUUGGUGUCCAUUUUACCCGUGGUUUAAACAGGACUGGCUACCUCCUCUGCAGGUUUCUUUGCCUACUGCUGAGCAUGAAAGCCAGAAGUUUUGAUGCAUGGCAUCAAACAUUCAGGAAAGGACAUCGUGCUACUCUCCUUAUCUCACUGUCUGUGGGAAGGAAUGGACAUCCAGAGCAUCGGCAAGUGAACAAAUGUCCAGGACAGCAAAGGCUACAACUCCAAAGACUCAUGCCAGCAAUCAGGAAGUAAUCAAACCCAAGUUCACCAUUGGUCCAAACAUUAUGCCUCGGCAUGUACAAAGGCUGAAGCUCAUGCUCAAAGGCUUUCCUUUAAAAGCCUUUCUUCCUCCCCUAGUACUAAGACUAUAGUUUCAUUUUGAGCAGCAGAUCACACAGUCCUCAUUUUGUCUGGCGUAAUUAAUAAACCUUUACUUCUUUUUCUCCAAAAAUAUCAUUCUCACUAUCUGAGAAUUGAUUUUGAAUUCAGGAGACCAAAUUUUCAGUAACAAAUUUGGCACCGAAAGUGGGACUCUGGGAAAGGUUCUCAACCUGAACCUCUAGAUACUGGGGGAAUAGAAAUUUGUAGGAAAUCAUUCCCUACAUCAAACUCUGGGACAGGUCCAGUGGAGAUAUUGUCUUAAAAGAAGAGGGGGAGAGUAAGGGACUAUCCCAACAACUGCCAGAGCCAGAUUUUGCUCUGGGGAACUCUGUUUUCUCUUGUGUGGAUUGUGUAGACAUAGUUCUUGCUGCUGGAAUGAUGUUGGAGAAAAGAAAAAAGUGUCUGAAAGAAGUUGUAACACCUUGGCUAAGCUUGGGUGAGACCCCUGCAUUAUACUCAUUUGGGGAGGUCCCCAUGUGGAUCUUCAGGCCCCAAAUGAGUCAUUCUUUUGUGGUGUGGUUGGAUAGAGGUCACAGGUUUAGCAGAACUAGGAAACCUAGGGGAUUCAUUCCCAUCUGUUGCCUUCCUAAUUUGGUGGAAUGUUCAUGUUUGUUGGCCUUGGUUUUGGGGAAAUUUCCUUUUCUUUGUGUGCUUUGUGUUCUGGGUUGUGUUUAUUAUGGGAGAUGCUGUUUCUAUUCCAUCUGAAAGGACUCUUGGAUAAAUCUUAGCAGAGCAAUCUACUUAUAUUUAUAAGCCUAUGACAAUUUUGUUGCAUCAUAGCCUGGCCUAUGUAUAUAUUAGGAAAUGAGUACAGAUAGUCUUUGAAUGAAACCUUGAAUUUCAUGAUUUUGCCAUUGGAGUCAUUUUGUUUGUAAGCAGGUAAAUAGGAUGAAAUUCCAUGUGUGCAGGUAAUUAUGCAGGUAUACAGCUAGGAGUCUGAACAGCCAGUAACUGAGUUGAUGGUACAAGGAAAUUCAAAGCUUCCCAUGGUCAAGGACUGCUAUGCCCCAGAAGAAAAGGUCAGAGAAGACCUAAUUGAUUUGAGUGUAAUGAAUCUCUUUAACCUGAGUUAUCCUGAAGGCUCUGCCACUCUACCUUUUCCUGUAGCUGCUCAGGAGUUGGUGGCCUGCUUCCUUUUGAGGGAGUAAGGGGAACAAAGGGAGGUGUAACUCAGCUGACCCAAACCACUCUGAGUUAUAAGUCAGGGACAAGGAUGGUCUCCCCUUCUGAGACCUAACAGAGCACAUUAUUUGGACAGGUGGCCCCUAUUACUGGAGCAGGACAAUUUCCUCUAAGGCAGUACUUAAUAGAAACAAAUGCCCAAGGAGAGCAGGGUGGGCAUUACUGGGCCUAUCAUCACUUUUCAACCUCAGACUUAUUAAACUGGAAAAAUUCAAACUUGCACUAUAGUGAGGGAUCCCCAGAAAAUGACUAAAUUAUUUACCUACUGCCCUACCUGGGCAGAUUAAGAAAGCUUGUUGAAAUCUUGCUCAUGACCAGUGGGUGCUAAAUUUUGAUGGACAAAGCAAAAGAUGAGACACAAGGCCUCUAUAAUGAGUAUCCUAACCAAGUCUGUGUAUGUGACCAGGUCAUACCAGUAGUGGAACCAAAUUGGGACCCAAUUACAGGUGCAGAAAAUUCCAAGAUAAAUAAUUAUCUGAGGUGCAGCCUUAUAGGACUCCACAGGGAAGUACCCAAGUAGAGGAGCCUAAAUAUGAUCCAACAGAAGAGUUGCAACAAAAGGCCCCUCUGAAUUUUUAGAAUGGGUUUACCAGGCUUAGAGGAAAUGUACAGACUCCUACCAAGAGUCACCUGAGAACCUACAUGUGGUUUAUAUGACUGUUAUUGGACAGAGUGCUCCUGACAUCAGAAGGAAAUUACAACAGGUAGAGGAACAAUUGGAAUGAAUCCCAAAUAACUUGUUGAUGUUGCUUACAAGGUUUGUAAUGCUAGGGAGGAACAGAAAUUGAAACCAAGUCAUGUAUUUUAUGUAGCCCAAAACAAAGGGAGUCCCCAAGAGAGAAAAGAUGACAAGGACUGACCCAAAUUGGGGGAAAACAAAUGUGCCUGUUGCAAAGGACAUUGCAGAAAAAAAUGCCCAAAGCUGCAAAAGAAACCUGAGAACAAUGGCCUUUAGAGAGUCCAGUGACUUGGAGGGCCGGAGACUCAGAUGAUGAAAGGGGAUUUCACAAGUGGAACAGCACUUAAAAUGGAAACAAAAUUCUCAUGGACUUAAACUUUUGCCUGAGGCACUUGUGUAGAACAUCUACAUGAAAGUACUUAUUACAGCCCUGAUGCAUUGGUAGGAUUCAUCUGACCUUAUUUUGGGGGUGGGGGAGUGAUUCUGGUUAAAAAGAUUGACGCAAUAGGUCACUCAAGAAUGGUCCCUUAUGUGUUCAGAAUAACCCUAAGACAUAAAGAAAACCUUUGGAGUAGAGAAUCUGGUACACAGGAGAACAUCCCUUAAGACUGGCAAGUGGAUUUCUCUUAGAUGCCAAAGACUAUUGAAAAUUUUAAAUAUCUGUUAGUGCUAGUUGAUACUUUUUCUGGAUGGGUUGAGACCUACCCCACCCAAAUGAAAAAGCUUUGGAGAUGACAAAGAUUUUUCUAAAAGAGAUCAUUUCUGUCUUCAAUUCAGAGUGACAACAGACAUUCCUUCAUGGCAGUAAUUACCCAGCAAGUCACUUCCUCAGCUGGAGAUACCAUUUCAUCCCUUCAGGAUGGGAGUUCAAGUACUUCUGAAACUUGGAACAAGCAAGGCCCCUGAACAACAAGUGGAAUUAAAAUGGAAAGAGCCUUAUGAUGUGCUUCUGAUGUCUCAUACCUCUUUGUAGUUAGCUGGAGUUUAGUCAUGGGUGCAUGGCACGAGAGUGAAGAAAUGCCCAGCAGAGGCAACUCCACUACAACUAAAAAACCAGUGGGAAAGCCAGCCACUGGAAGACAUAAGACUCCUGUUCAGAAAAAAUGCAAAAUGAAUGUCCCUUUGAAUCUACUAAGUUGCUUUUGUCUUUGUAUCCCCUUUGCAGGAUGGAAGGAAAACUGGUUGGUUCAUAUUGCUCAAAUACUGACUUCUUUAUGGGUGCUCCCAAGACUCCCUGGCAAAGGUUGUGUUGGGUUCAGAUGGCUCUGGAGUACAUGUUAGCUGAGCAAGGGGGUAUGUGUGCUAUUGCUAAUAUGCUCUGUCAUACUUAUAUCAGUAUUCUUUUCAGGUAGAAAUUAAUGUAAAAAAGAUUAGACAAAACUUCUUCAUUACAAUAAGCCUGAGAGGUUCACUCUCUCUUUUUUGAUGGUAUAGAGGCUGAAUUGGCAGACUAUUUUUCUAGAUUGUUUUCCUGGAUUCCUAAUGGUGUCACAUCUGUCUUAUUAGGUAUCUAUCUCCAUUUUGGCAUGACCAUCAUGUUGAUUACAGGAUCAGUAUACCUUCUUAUUUACUUAGCACUUUGCUGCAUAUCCUACCCAUAAAAACUAGUGUUAGAGGCCUAACACUCACCAGGCUGACUGACAAAGACAGAUACAUACCUUCCAUCAGGAGAAUCCCACUAAUCACCCAAUUUUAGCAGGAAGUAGCCAGAUGAGUAUGCCACUCCUUUUUCCAUGGAAGGAAAUGCAAUGGAAAAAUUAACAGUGGGGACAAUGUAAUAGGAAUAGACACCUAAAUAUGUGACUUCUCUUGUUAGUGGUUCUUACUACUAUUCUGGCUGUGAUAAAGUGAGAAAGGCUGAGUUGCUAAUGAUUUCUAUGAACACUGAGCUGGCAUUUGGUAGGGAAUCUAUGGUGAGAGAGACUUAGAUAGCUCUAUCUGGGGCCUUUUUUUUUUUU